CCAGAGGGUCGGGCGACCGCGGGUGUCUUCAGGAUGCGCGAGGAAAGUCCGGGCUCCACGUAACGACGGUGCCGGGUAACGCCCGGCCGGGGUGACCCGAGGGAAAGUGCCACAGAGAGCAGACAGCGAACCGCUUCGGCGACGCGAAAAGUGAAAGGGUGCGGUAAGAGCGCACCGCGCGCCUGGUAACAGGGGCGGCACGGCAAACCCCACCGGGAGCAAGACCGAAUAGGGGCGGCACAUGAGCAUCGUUGCUGCUCGUCGCCCGGGUUGGUCGCUUGAGCCUGUAUGCGAGUGCAGGCCUAGAGGAAUGGUCGCCCAUCCCGCCUCGGCGGGGGGACAGAACCCGGCUUACAGACCCUCUGGCGCU
rnacentral:RNase_P_RNA from 2 species